UACGAAGGUCCCAAGCGUUAUCCGGAUUUAUUGGGUUUAAAGGGUGCGUAGGCGGGUUAUUAAGUCAGUGGUGAAAGCCUUCAGCUUAACUGAAGAACUGCCAUUGAUACUGAUGAUCUUGAGUAUGAUUGAGGUGGGCGGAAUGUGUCAUGUAGCGGUGAAAUGCUUAGAUAUGACACAGAACACCAAUUGCGAAGGCAUGCUUACUAUGGGUUUUAAUUGACACUGGAGGCACGAAAAGCCGUGGG
rnacentral:rRNA from 1 species